UCAAGAUCAACAUUCCAACUACCACCGACCGUCUCUAAAGCAAGUGACAAAGAAUUUGAUGUUUGGUAUUCGAGACUUAAGUUUGAAUUCUAGUUAAUUUACAUUUCCAGCUAAGUUUAUUUUUAAAUAAAAUAAACGAAACGGAUAGCAUACUGUCUAUCUCUCAAAAAACAUUCCAACUACCUCCUCUUUUCCUAGAAACUGGUCCAAAGGGAAGCUACCAUUAAGCUAGGGUUUGGUCUUUGU
rnacentral:lncRNA from 1 species